CCUUUGCCCUCACCUCAGCCAUUAACCCCAACAUCAGGGUGCUGCAGCUGGUAGAGGAUCUCAGGGUAGCCCUGGAGGGCCAGGUGGACCAGGAGGAGCAUGACUCCAUGAGCAGACAGGUCCCCAUGGACACAGCACACACCCUGUUAGAUUGGCUGGAGAAGGGAGGGAGUUUGAGGAAGAAAAUAGUCAAAGCUACAAUGGGCCAGCAGAAUGGAGUAUAACAUAGAUUUCUAUAAAGCAUGUUGCCUGGCUGAAAAAGAAGUAAAAACAGGAAAUGCAUCACCGAUGCCUCUACUGCCAUUCAUUCCAAUUAGACUGGUUUGGAUUUCUCCUGACGAAAAUAGCUGCCUUUAUCACCCCCUUCUAUAACUGUGAGGGAUUAUGACAUAGACCCUUUUGUAAUUUAAUAGGAUCUCUAUGGAGUCGACCACCAGACGACAUGGACAGAUAAACUGUCUUUCUGUGUGUGUGUGUGUGUGUGUGUGUGUGGCUAUAUGUCAUAUGGAGAGAGCACCACUUUCUUCCUCACACAACAUCAAUAAAUUAGAGUACCAGCCACACAGUGAUGAUAUCUUUGUUAUCUCAUCCCAGCUAGGGAGGCCAAUGUAAAUGUAAUUUUCUUCCAUGCUUUUUUCUGUAUCGUUAUAUCAAUGCUAAGCAGGGCAUUGACAUGGACCAUCAUAAAGAGAGAGUGUAAAUCACCCCCUACCACUAGUGCUCUCAACAGACAUAUACUGUUGCUACUGCACUAUAGAAAAAGCCUCUGCUCCCCUUUACAUUCAGCUAGCUGCAGUCUGUUUAUUUUCUGUUGUCUAUGAUCCCUCUUUUCUCCUCUGUCUAGCAUAUAGCAUCACUUAGGCCGUUGGUUAGAGUUGCUGUGAUGUAGAUAAGGCCUCUCAUCCCUGACUGAUAUAAACCAGGCCGUUAGCUAGCUGCGCUGCUGUUGGAUGUUGCCGCGCUACAGAUGAAUAAUUCAGUUGUCAUUAGUAUGCGCAGUGUCACAGGUCUCUCUGAGCGCCUUUAUGACAGCCAGCCUGCCGUCGCCUCUUGUCUGGUUAACAACCACGACCCAUGGUCCUGCCGUCGCCUCUUGUCUGGUUAACAACCAUGACCAAUGGUCCUAUAGUCGCCUCUCGUCUGGUUAACAACCACGACCCAUGGUCCUGCCGUCGCCUCUUGUCUGGUUAACAACCACGACCCAUGGUCCUGCAGUCGCCUCUCGUCUGGUUAACAACCACGACCAAUGGUCCUGCAGUCGCCUCUCGUCUGGUUAACACCUACGACCCAUGGUCCUGCAGUCGCCUCUCAUCUGGUUAACACCUACGACCCAUGGUCCCGCAGUCCACCUACACCAACCAUUACUGUAUGACAAUAGGAGUGUGUGAGUGUGACGUGUGUGCCUUUGUGUGUGUGUGUGUGUGUGUGUGAGUGAGUGCAUGUGGUGUGUGUUUGUGUUUGUGCGUGUUUGCGUGCAUACCUGCAAACCUAUCAUUAGUGGUCUGAGUGAAGUGGAUAAGCUACUGUGAUCCAUCCAGGUACCUACAGAGGUGUUAGCCUAUCACGUUGUGUGAGCUUUUAUCACUAAUUGCCUCAGCGGAUGACACAGAGUAAUUAUCAGGCUGACAUGUAGCUCUUCAAAUCUGACACUAACAGGCGCUGAGCCAGGGAGGCUUCCUAUCUCUUAUGCUACAUGUGGCGGCGAUCUGCUUUUAAUAGUGCAGACAUAGAGGAGGUGUGAAUAUAGAUGUGUUGCCAUGACUCUUGCCCACUGGCCUGCAUGUAUUCACUGAGUAGACUCUUGGACUACAACAAGUAUGUAUUCUGAUUGCCAACAGUAGUAAUAUGUUGAGUGUGGCACUUGAUAAUCAACUGUAUAAUCAUUCAUUAAUAAUUAAAUUAAUUCUCAAUGUGGAGUGAUUGACCUGUGCUCAGCCACAAUCUCCUUGCAACAUGAUGCAGGCAGGAAAUAGAUGAGAAAACAAAGUGCUGCAAUAGGGUGAAGGGAGAGGUUAAAUAUGAGUACAGGCAGAGAGAGAGAUGGAGAGAGAAGGAAAGAGAGAGACAGACAUACAGAUGUAUGAUCUUAAUUUGAGCCA